rnacentral:rRNA from 1 species
AUUGAACGCUGGCGGGAUGCUUUACACAUGCAAGUCGAGCGAGUGGCGGACGGGUGAGUAAUGUCUCGGAAAGUGCCUGAUGGAGGGGGAUAACUACUGGAAAGGGUAGCUAAUACCGCAUACUAUUGGAUCGGCCCAGAUCGGAUUAGCUAGUUGGUGGGGUAAAGGCUCACCUAGGCGACGAUCCCUAGCUGGUGUGAGAGGAUGACCAGCCACACUGGGACUGAGACACGGUCCAGACUCCUACGGGAGGCAGCAGUGGGGAAUAUUGCACAAUGGGCGCAAGCCUGAUGCAGCCAUGCCGCGUGUAUGAUGAAGGCCUUCGGGUUGUAAAGCACUUUCAGCGGGGAAGCGUUAUUCGCAGAAGAAGCACCGGCUAACUCCGUGCCAGCAGCCGCGGUAAUAC